UUGAAUGGUAAAAUUUCUCUUUGCCAAGGAGAG
rnacentral:tRNA from 3 species